UUACAAGGCUUGCAACGUGCCUGAGCUCAGUGGCAUGGUGCCUUCCUGCAGGCUUGCGAGAGCGUUGUAGGUGGUUUGAGGCCUUGCUCUGUCACCCCUUUAGAAUGUGGUCGUAGACAUUUCAGACAGUC
rnacentral:snoRNA from 1 species